UACGUAGGUGGCAAGCGUUAUCCGGAUUUACUGGGUGUAAAGGGCGUGUAGGCGGGACUGCAAGUCAGAUGUGAAAACCACGGGCUCAACCUGUGGCCUGCAUUUGAAACUGUAGUUCUUGAGUACUGGAGAGGCAGACGGAAUUCCUAGUGUAGCGGUGAAAUGCGUAGAUAUUAGGAGGAACACCAGUGGCGAAGGCGGUCUGCUGGACAGCAACUGACGCUGAGGCGCGAAAGCGUGUGGAGCAAACAGG
rnacentral:rRNA from 1 species